rnacentral:rRNA from 1 species
UACGUAGGGGGCAAGCGUUGUCCGGAAUCAUUGGGCGUAAAGCGCGCGUAGGCGGCCCGGUAAGUCCGCUGUAAAAGUCCAGGGCUCAACCCUGGAAAGCCGGUGGAUACUGUCGGGCUAGAGUCCGGAAGAGGAGAGUGGAAUUCCUGGUGUAGCGGUGAAAUGCGCAGAUAUCAGGAAGAACACCCGUGGCUAAGGCGGCUCUCUAGUACGGUACUGACGCUGAGACGCGAAAGCGUGGGGAGCGAACAGG